AGUGAAGAAAGUAAAAUAGACCAUAGAUCUAUAAGUUGUUGAGUCUGCUAUUUCUACUCUAUUAUUCCGUCGUUGUUGUCAGAAGUAAAUCAUUCUUCUCCUUCUCAGCACUUUUGUAAAAAGCCAGAAG
rnacentral:ribozyme from 14 species